rnacentral:tRNA from 1 species
UCCGAAUUGGUGUAGUGGCUAACAUUUGACGCUCUCAUUGCGAAGUACCGUCAAGCCCGGGGUUCGAUUCCCCGAUUCGGAG